CUUUCUGUCCAGGGUGCAAUACAAUCUAGCCAAUGUAUCAUGUUGCACACAGGCUCUGAUCAGUGAUAAAUAUGACAUCACCACCUUCUAUCAUUUGUACCCUGCAUCUGUUUCCCAAUUUGCUCUAAGCCUGCACGUAUACUUUAUAUUGUGUAAGUUUGAUCUUCUAUGUACCCAAUUUCCACAUCGUGAAUUCAGCCAGCUCUUAGUAAAAACAUAUUUUAAAGUGAUUACUUCUAUACUGAAUAUGUCUAGUCUUUUAUACUUACUAUUCUUUCCUUAAAAACAUAUAAUGAUGAUGAUGAUGAUGAUAAUAAUAAAAAUAACGAUUCACAGUAUUUACGUAGUAUUACAUAUUAUAAGUAAUCUAGAGGCAAUUUAGAACAUAUGGGAGAAUAGUAGGGGUUAUGUGAACUAUGGCACCAUUUUAGUCAAAAGACUUGAGCAUUCUACAGAUUUUGGCAUCCACAUUGUGGGUGUAUCUUAGAAACAUGCCUGAUAGACACAGAUCACUGACUGCAUACUAAUGAAUGUAGCACUUAUUUUAAAUACUGACCAAUGGAAAAAAUAUCCAGGCUUUCUUAGCAUCCUUAUGCCUGAGGAGAGAUUCUUUUUAUUUCCUCUUCUAAAAUCCCUAGGAAAAGAUGUUGUAGAAAAUUUUAAUUCCAAAGGGGGUUUCUACCCUGCUUUAAUCAUUCAGUUCCAGAAUAAAGGACACACAACUUUUUUUUUACUUACAAUAAGCCUUAAACAGCACAAGGGCUGGGCAGACAUUACCCUCUAUGCUAUUAAAAUCUAUUUCUUAUCCUUAACCCUGAGUUAUCACUUACUAUGCAUCAUUUGGGCUGCUUUUAACUCCAGUUGACCAGCUCUCAGGGCCAUGUUUUCUUGACUUCUAACCCAUGGCGACUUUCUGUCUCCUCAACUUCUUCUCCCUCUCCCUCUCCCUUUUGGUUCUCCUCAGACACAGGGAACCUUAAAACGCACCUAUGUCUCUCCUGUUCAGCUUUGGCUGUCGGCAUUUUUAUUCACCAAUCAGAACUAACUUGGGGGUCAAGGUCACAUAGCUCACUUGUGUCUAUGUGCAGUCUCUGGGACAACCGACUCUUGGGGGGCUCACACUUAGCGUUAC
rnacentral:lncRNA from 1 species